AGGUCGCGAAACCCCAAACCCUUCGAGAUGAGACUCGAAUCAGUGAGUCGACUGGAGACUCGGUGAGUCGCACAGGUCAGGACUCAGAAAUCGGUAGACUCGGCGAGUCAUGGACUGACUCGGCGACUCGAGUCGCGAAUGAAAGGACUCUGAACUUAUGAACUCGGCGAGUCAGUAGGUUGACUCGGCGAGUAGGGUUGACCUGGGAGGUUGACUUUGACCAGGACCUUGACGUUGACCAAAGUUGACAUAGUUGACUUUCGGGGUCAGUUAGACUAAGUGUUGCAUUGAUAUUGGUAGCUCGGGGAGCUAGUAGAGCAGGAGUUCAGAGAGUUGCCAGACAGCAGCUAGUGGGAUCAUCAUCGAGUUCAGCCAGUGUAGGUGAGUUUCCCUUUUGUGUGAAUGGGUCUAUGGUGACAAUGCCAGCCCAUGUAGUUAUGAGUAGAAGACCCGGGUGUUAGCCCUAGGCACAGUAUGCUAGUAUGAUAUCCAGGACGAGGUCCAAUGAUAGCAGGCGGGUGCCAAAGGAAUGGUUUAUGUGAUAGUUUAUACUUGUUGUCUAUGUGAUACUUGUAUGUGCUUGGUAGGGAGGUGAGUGUGGGCGAGGUCCCGUAUCUCACCAAUAGCAGAGUGUGGAUGGUGUUCCACAUCUCAGUAGCAGCAGAGCAGGGGCGAGGCCCAAGUUAGGGAAGGAGUGAGGGUGGGCUGGGCCCGUACCUCACUAUCAGCAGGAGUAUGGACAGGGUUCCAUGACUCAUCAGUAGCAGGACAAGGGCGAGGCCCAGAGACAGGCAAGGCCUUAGGACAGGAUCCGUUAGUAUGUGUUUAGCUUAUGUGUUGUGAUAUGUUUAUGUGCUAUUAUAUGUUAGUGGGCGAGGCCUUGUGACAGGUGAGGCCUAAGUGAAACAGAUCUGUAUCUGAGUGGGGCUCGAAGCCAGGCGGGGCCUGGAGCGGCUGGGCCGUUGUAGCGGGCGAGGCCCGAGGUAGGGGCGAGGCCUAGGAUAGCGGUCGUGGCCCAGUAUGUGCAGUAUGUCGUUAUGCAUGGUAUGUGGUAGCGUGGGGAACUCACUAAGCUUUGUGCUUACGGUUUUCAGUUUUGGUUUCAGGUAUUUCCGGUAGCGGAAGGAAGAGCUCGGGGUGAUCGCAUGGCACACACCACAUAUUAGACAACCUGGGAAUGUUUUAAUUUGAUAACGAAUAUGUGUUUUGGAAAUUAAUACUCUGAUUAUGUUUUGGAUUGAUGAUAUUGUUUUAAGUAAUGAUUUACUAAAAUAAAUUUUUAGUCUUGAAUUUUGGGACGCUACAAGUUGGUAUCAGAGCCUUGGUUUGAGGGAUUCGGGCACACUCUCGGGUGUGUCUGAACUCAAACUGAGGAAUUGGUAUAGAAGUUUUCAAAAUGAAAAGACAGUUUUGUAAAAAGAGAGUUUUGAGAAAGAAAACAGUUUUAGAAAAGCAAAAAGAAUACAGAAAGAAAAGAACUUUGAAAAGAGAAAAAGGGUGUGGUGCAUGCAAUCAACCGAGCUCAAGUAAGUACCCCAAAAUACCCAUAGAAAUUUAUGUUGUGAUUAUCAGUUAGUAGAACAACAUGCUAGAUUAGGACUAAGGAUCUAGGGAGGAUGUCUUAUGUGCCUAUUAUAUGUGCUUUGAGCUGCAUGAUAGUGCUGAUUAGACAGUGGUAGGAUAGCCUGUUUAGGUUAUGCCUGAGUUUAUGAGUUUGUGUUGCAUGCUAGUUCAGAUUCUUGCUAUGUGGAUAUGAUUGCUUGAGUAUGUGGUAGUUAGAUUUUCCCAUUGUCUGAAUGCUGCUUGCUUUGUGUAAUAUGGGAUUCCGAGUGAUGGGAGUUAGCUAUUAGGGGGAUACGAGUUAGAUUUUCCCAUUGUCUGAAUGCUGCUUGCUUUGUGUAAUAUGGGAUUCCGAGUGAUGGGAGUUAGCUAUUAGGGGGAUACGUCACGUCACAUGUGAUCAGGGUUGAAUAAUCUCAGAGUGCUGGAUUUGGCCCUAUUUUGCAGCUCUUGUUUGAGUCCAACCGUUGUAGGGACGAGUCUUUUACUCGAAGGAUUAUCUGAGCCUCGUCACAUGUGAUGGUAUCCAGGUAAUGGCUAAUUGGCAUCACAAGGAGACCUUCAGCAGCUGAGGACUGGUUUGAGUUGAGUCAGAGGUUUCCCUAGGGUAAGCCUAGGAUGAGAUAGUGCUGGGAGCAGUAGUAGUGGAUAAGGGACCAGGUGGAGUCGAAGCAAUUACUGAGGAAAGUACGAAUAGAUGUGGAAGGUAGUAUGGGCCCGUACUACUGAAAGCAGAGGAUCCGUACUCGAUUCGGGAAAGGAUGAGAUAGGACCGGGAACCUGGUAGGGUUUGUGUGUGUUUGGUCUCGCAGCAGUGAUAAGUAUUUUGAUAGAGGAUGUAUUAUAUUUUUAGCAUGGUGACGUUGCGAGAGAGACCAGUGGGUGGACCAGGCGCAGGAGAGGGAUCAGGCUCGGUUUCAGGAGCUGAGCAGCUCAAGGAGUGGAUGAGGGAGUUGAUAUCAGCUGAGGUUACGCACAAUAUUCUAGAUCAGACUCCUGUGAUCUUUGGCACGGUCAAGGAGGGUAUAUUGGAGAUUUUGGAUGAGAGGCUGGGAGCCUUCCGUACGGAGAUGAUGGCUUUGAUGGGAGCGCGUACCUUGACAUUUCGAGAGUUCAGGGCUUGUGGGGCACCAGAUUAUCAUGGGGCUAGGGACUCCAUCGCUAGCAGCAGAUGGUUGGCUGAUGUUGCCAACGCAUUCCGUACGAGCCGGUGCCCUGAGGGGGACAAGGNNNNNNNNNNNNNNNNNNNNNNNNNNNNNNNNNNNNNNNNNNNNNNNNNNNNNNNNNNNNNNNNNNNNNNNNNNNNNNNNNNNNNNNNNNNNNNNNNNNNNNNNNNNNNNNNNNNNNNNNNNNNNNNNNNNNNNNNNNNNNNNNNNNNNNNNNNNNNNNNNNNNNNNNNNNNNNNNNNNNNACUGAGACUGGUGCGGAGAUCACCGCCAAGUGCAGGGAGAGGGCUCUUCUUGUACCGCAGUAUGUCGCGGAUGAGGAGAUGAAGAAGGCCUGAUAUCACGAGAUGUUGAGGACUGACAUCAGGGAGUUCGUGAGCAGUUUUGGCUGUAAGACGCUGGAAGAUAGGAUUUCUCGGGCCAGAGAGAGCGAAAUUGAUUUGGAGCAGAUCCGGAAAAGGAAGCCAGAUGAGGUUCAGGUAGCUGCGGGUUCGGGCAAAAGGCCCAAGGGAUCGGAUUUUAGAUCGAGGGAUCAUCAGGACCACAGUCGGUGCGGAAAGUGUGGCGGGGCGCACGGGGGCGCGUGCAGGAGUGGUAGCGGUGGUGAGUCUGGCUGUUUCAAGUGCGGUCGGACUGGUCAUUUCAGCAAGGAUUGUNUGCUACCACCAUUCAGGGAUCCAACUUGAUGUGUUUUCACUGCAAUCAGCGGGGACACAAGAAGGCCCAGUGCCCCAGUUUGUUUUCAGCAGGACAGGNNNNNNNNNNNNNNNNNNNNNNNNNNNNNNNNNNNNNNNNNNNNNNNCGUGCAGAGGCGCUUGCGGUAGGAGGCAGGGCUUUUCAGAUGACUACCUUGGAGGCGCGAGCAGCAUCGGACGUUGUAGGUAUGCGAUUUUCGUUUUCAGUUCUUUUAUUUGUGCAUGAUUAUAUUGUUAUGGUUCUGCAUCAUUAUCGGUAUGAGUAUUUUAUUUUUGUGCGGCUUGAUCGUGAUCGAGUUAUAUGCCAUCUGCAUACCUUGGAUAUUUGAAUGGUAGUUAGGGGAUGUGAUCUAUUGGAAAAGGUUACCUAGAAUGCAGUAACUAUAGCAUGCUUGGGAGGGACUUGGUAUGUCUCUUUAGUUUGGAGUUGUAUAGCUUUGAGAGGGAUUGGUUAGAUCCCUAGCUAUGGUAAGCUUGGGUUGCUCAGCAGAUGGAUUAUGGAAAGGUAUCAAGGAUUGGGAUUUCUUCUCGAGCGUUGAGCAGCAAGAGGUAAGCAGGAUCGAAGUGGGGGAGAAUCCUCCGAGUGUACAAGGGUAAGAGCACGUAGAUCCAUAAUGAGUGCACGAUCUCUGAGAGGGAAAAAAAGUAGCAUAGCGUAUGAUGGAUUGAGGAGUUCAGGGUUGGGAGUUUGAGAAACUCCCCAUCACCUAGUGCGUGUAUUGGUGAUGGUUAGUAUGUGGUUGGGAAUUCAGGUUGGAGGAUCGCCUGUAGGACUCGAGUGAAUCAGAAGGAGGAUCUUGAGAACUGAUAGCAUGGGGUGCUUUCGUGGUAGCAGUCAGUGGUAGAAAGUGUUGUAAGACUACAGGGCAACCGUAGCAUUCACUAGCAGUCAGUGAUGGAAAGUGUUGUAAGACUAUGGGGCAACCGUAGCAUUCACUAGCAGCCAGUGAUGGAAGGUGAAGUAAGGCUACAAGGUAAGCUGUAGCAUUCCAUAGUAGCUUCGUUAGCUGAGUCGGGGCGAGGCCCUUAUCUCCUAGUGAUCAGAUAGAGAUCAGGAAUUGGUAGUUGACGAGAAUAGUAGGGAGUUUGCCUGUUCAGCGUUAGAGAGGUGAGACCUUGGGAGAGGCCGUUCCAGGAUGUAGUUGGGUGAGACCCGUGGGCGAGGCCCGUAUGAGAGUAGAAAUAUAGGUGAGACCUGAGAGCAGGGUUGCUCAAUAGUAUAAUUGGGUGAGACCCGUGGGCGAGGCCCGAGCGAGAGUGGUUAGACUAGUAGGAUUAGAAGGAUAGAGGCGGGUGAGACCCGUGGGCGAGUCCCGUGAGUUCUAGCAGCACAGGUGGGACCUGGUAGGGACCUUAGUGUCAAGAUAGGGGAUCGAGGAUCCCAGAAUUGUAGCGCCUGAAUGGUAGAAUAGAUUGAGCAGUUAUAGGUGGUCGAAGUUUCUUCGAAAGUCGCUGGGAGCGACUAGUAGUUGUGUUGGGACUAGCGAUUGGUGGGAGCUGGUAAUUCAGAUAUUCGUAGGACGGUAGGGACCAGGGUGGUGUCAGUCCAUCCGGAAUGCAGACAAGGAAUAACAGAAAUUUUCAGUCAGUAGCAGUGCGGGUAAGCAGUCUAUGGUGGAAUUCAGUUAGUUGAUCGUGGGGUGCUCGACACCAAAUUAUAGUAGAAAGAAAUGCCCAGUGGAUACUGGCGAUAAUGACCCGUACUGGAGGUAGCGGGAGUAAUGGAUUUGGUGAACAUAGGAUCUUCACAGUGACAGAGCAAAUAGUUGGUUAUGGAUCAUUGCCUUGGGAAGGCAAGGAAAUCGCGCAAGGAAAGAAGGGGUGAACCCAUAUGGGUUAAGUACAGUACUCGGAGAGUAACAGAAGGAUUGUCGGUUGAGUAAGUUGUGUUUCCAAAAUGUUCAGGGUCAGGGUUGACCCGAGAUUAUUAUCCGCAAGAAUGGAUGUUAGUCAGAAUGACCGGGCGGAAAACCAGCGAAGGUAGGCAACUGGUGUUGGAAUAAUUAGUAGAGUAUUGGAAGCAGAUCGCAGGCAAUGGGCCAUAGCAAACUUCGAGGACGAAGUUUAGUUUAAGUAGGGGAGAGUUGUAACACCCAAAGUUAGGAAGGCCAAGAAAGGAAAGGAAACCCUAAGUUAAGGGACGAAUCGUUGAGUCCAAGGAGGAACUCGGCGAGUGCGAGCGGGAUCCGGGUGAAGGAGUAAGUGACCGACUCGGCGAGUCGGCCAAGGAGACUCAGCGAGUCUGGUCUGAAUGAGGAAAACCCUAAAUCCGGGACUUGGAGCCUAUUUAAGCGCCUAAUUCUCUUCCCUAGGGUUCCUUUACUGCCUCUUUAACCUAGAACACUAAACCCUAGCCGCCGUAUCCAUUUUUGAACUAAUUAUUGCCUUGAGGAGUGCAUUAAAGCUUGGAGAAGGAAGAAGGAUCUUGGAGGUGCAAGUAGGGGGCUAUAGAUCCGGGAUUGGGAAGACAUUUCUGAGCAUUUGGAGGUAAUAAAAUAGUUCUUGGACUCCUUUGCACUUAGAUCUAUGUGUGAGUUUUGGGCAUUCUUGGCAUGAUAGUAACCAUUUCGAGCUAUAAGUUAGGAUCUGAGGUUGCUACCUCAGGUCCAUGCUUGUUUUGGUCUAGAAUCCCAUAAAGUAUCAGCUCUUGGUAUGUUGGUGAAGCAUGGUGGUCAUAAACCCUAGUUUGGAGUGUUUUGAGCCUAGAUCUCCAUAACUACAUGUAAAGUUUGCCACUUUACGUGAGGAAUAGGCCUUGGAAGUAUGGAUCUAUGUGUUGGAGCCCCUGUUCGGCUCGAAAAGCCACUGCAUGGAUUAAGAGUUUGAGUGACUCGGCGAGUCACAUGGGUAGACUCGGCGAGUCGGAUGAAAUUGGGCAGGAACUCGGCGAGUUUGAAGAACAACUCGGCGAGUCUGUUGAAGGUUGUCUUGGACUCGGCGAGUCAGGUCGCGAAACCCCAAACCCUUCGAGCUAAGACUCGAAUCAGUGAGUCGAGUGGAGACUCGGUGAGUCGGACAGGUCAGGACUCGGAAAUCGGUAGACUCGGCGAGUCAUGGACUAACUCGGCGAGUCGCGUCGCGAAUGAAAGGAAUCAGAACUUAUGAAAUCGGUUAGUCAGUAGGUUGACUCGGCGAGUAGGAUUGACCUGGGAGGUUGACUUUGACCAGGACUUUGACUUUGACCAGAGUUGACUUGGUUGUCUUUCGGGGGUCAGUUAGACUAAGUGUUGCAUUAAUAUUGGUAGCUCGGGGAGCUAGUGGAGCAGGAGUUCAGAUAGUUGCCGGACAACAGCUUGUGGGAUCAUCAGCGAGUUCA
rnacentral:lncRNA from 1 species